GUUGAAAAGAACUUUGAAGAGAGAGUUCAAGAGUACGUGAAACCGUUCAGGGGUAAACCUGAGAAACCCAAAAGAUCGAAUGGGGAGAUUCAGCGUUCAACGGCCCGUCUGGCUUGCGUGCGACGUCACGAUGUCGCGGUGUUAUGCGCCCUCGCCGGUGUGUAUAUACCGUGACACGUCGUCGCUGCGUCAUGACCGGCGCCGUCAGCGUGCACUUCUCCCCUAGUAGAACGUCGCGACCCGUUGUGCGUCGGCCAAAGGCUCGAAGGGUAGACUAUCGCGCUCUCUCCCCGGAGGGCGCGGCAGACCCUCGAAAGCCCGGCCCGACUGCUCGACGGUAUUCGAAUAUCACAAGGUGUGUAAUCGAGAGCCGCAUUUGAAUGCGUUCGGCGCGUCGGUCGGCUUCGGCUCGCUCGGUUAUUUUACGGACCUGGAUGCCGUUACUGGGCGCUUGCCGAGGCUUUUUGUACCGACGACGAUCUCCAACCGGCUCUGCGCGCGCGAAAGCGUUCGCGCUCUCGCGCGCUCACCUGUCGGCGACGCUUUUGCUUUGGGUACUUUC
rnacentral:rRNA from 1 species